rnacentral:rRNA from 1 species
CCUACGGGAGGCAGCAGUGGGGAAUAUUGCGCAAUGGGCGAAAGCCUGACGCAGCGACGCCGCGUGAGGGAUGAAGGUCUUCGGAUCGUAAACCCCUGUCAGCAGGGAAGAACGGUCACUGUGCUAAUCAGCAGUGAAUUGACGGUCCCUGCAAAGGCAGCACCGGCUAACCCCGUGCCAACAGCCGCGGUAAUACGGAGGGGGCGAGCGUUAAUCGGAAUUACUGGGCGUAAAGGGCUCGAGGGCGGUAUGUCAAGUCAAGGGUGAAAUCCCCGGGCUCAACGUGGGAACUGCCUUGGAAACUGUCAAACUGGAGUGUGUGAGAGGAGAGUGGAAUUCCAGGUGUAGGGGUGAAAUCCGUAGAUAUCUGGAGGAACAUCAGUGGCGAAGGCGACUAUCUGGCACAUAACUGACGCUGAGGAGCGAAAGCGUGGGUAGCAAACAGGAUUAGAUACCCCAGUAGUC